rnacentral:rRNA from 1 species
AUUGAACGCUGGCGGCAUGCUUUACACAUGCAAGUCGAACGGUAACAGGCCGCAAGGUGCUGACGAGUGGCGAACGGGUGAGUAAUGCAUCGGAACGUGCCCAGUCGUGGGGGAUAACUACUCGAAAGAGUAGCUAAUACCGCAUACGAUCUAUGGAUGAAAGCGGGGGACCGUAAGGCCUCGCGCGAUUGGAGCGGCCGCUGUCAGAUUAGGUAGUUGGUGGGGUAAAGGCUCACCAAGCCAACGAUCUGUAGCUGGUCUGAGAGGACGACCAGCCACACUGGGACUGAGACACGGCCCAGACUCCUACGGGAGGCAGCAGUGGGGAAUUUUGGACAAUGGGCGCAAGCCUGAUCCAGCAAUGCCGCGUGCAGGAAGAAGGCCUUCGGGUUGUAAACUGCUUUUGUACGGAACGAAACGGCUCUGGUUAAUACCCGGGGCUAAUGACGGUACCGGAAGAAUAAGCACCGGCUAACUACGUG